UACGGAGGAUGCAAGCGUUAUCCGGAUUUAUUGGGCGUAAAGCGUCCGCAGGUGGUUAUGCAAGUCUGCUGUCAAAGCGCGAGGCUUAACUUCGUAAAGGCAGUGGAAACUGUGUGACUAGAGGAUGGUAGGGGUCGCGGGAAUUCCCAGUGUAGCGGUGAAAUGCGCAGAUAUCGGGAAGAACACCCGUGGCGAAGGCGGCUCUCUGGAACGCAACUGACGCUGAGACGCGAAAGCGUGGGGAGCAAACAGG
rnacentral:rRNA from 1 species